UAGUCGCCAAAGGUAUUUGCGACCAUGUAUUCGCGACAAAACCGGCGACUAAAAUAUUUAGUCGGGAAAAGUGAAAAUUCGACAUUUGGCGACUAAAAAUUUAGUCGCCAAAUGUGUGUUUUCUUGUAGUAAAUGUUAGAAACAUUUUAUUGUUUUGGCCUUUUUUUGGUUAAUAUGUAAGGUGUGUGGUUAAUUUGUGUGAGAAGUAUGAUCUCAAUCAUCUUUCAUAAAAUUGGAAUAAAAAAAUGACUAAAUGAAAUAUAUUUACAAUUAACUUCCCAAUCAAUUUUAGAGGAUUUGGAUUUAAUUCUUCCUAAUUAAUGCAAAGGCAAAUCAUCCUCUAGUAACUAUUCUUCUAGUGCUGAGACCUUAGACUUGAGCUAUGAGGCUUUAAAAUGUGAUUGUGGUGUAAGAGCUGCCAUAAGGGUUACCGAGUCUGAUAAGCCAUCUAAAGGGAGACUGUAUUUCAUUUGUGAGAAGAGAAAUUGUCAACUUUGGCGGUGGUGUACCCCAAAAUUUGUGACCAUGGUAGAGAGGCUGAGGAAUGAGAGAAUGCUUGAUCAAAAUCAAAAUAUGGAGACUGUAGGACUAAAAGUCAAGAACCAAAUGCUUGAGCAAUCCAAUGCUUUCAUGAAGCAGCUUGUUGUGGGUCUGCUCACAAUUUGUAUUGUUAUGUCAGUUGCAUUACUCUUCAAAUGAUGAUAGGCGCCGUUUAGAGAUACCUGGUGUUUUUGUGUUAUGUAGUUUACCAUGAACUAUUGUACUAAGCCUUAUACCCAAUGAAUGUUGAUAUGUCUUUCGUAGUUACCAUGUAUGGUUAUUUUGUACUAAUAUAGCUAUUGUAAUGCAAGCAAUGAUGAAUGAGUUUGUUUUAAAGAUUUUUGUUCUUUCAUAGAAUGAGUAUCCAAGAGGAAACACAAUCUGAAAAUAGGAAGAACAAAGGAAAAUCAAGUCAAGUACCAUCCGUUAAAGCUCACUGGGAUGCAAAAUCAAAUGAAAUUUUUAUUAAGCUUUGUGUUGAGCAAGUGAAGGCUGGACUCAGACUUGGUACACACUUAGAUAGGGUCGAGUGGGAAAAUAUGAUAACUAAGUUUAAAAGUAUGACUGGAAAAGUAUACCAACGAAUACAAAUGAAAAUCCAUUGGGAUGUGUUGAAAAAAAGAUUGGCUUUUAUGGAAUAAUCUGUUAAGGGGUGAGACAUGCUUAGGCCGUGAUACAUUGAAUGGAGCUAUAUCUGCAUCUGAUGAGUGGUGGACCAAGAAAUUAGAGAGGUAUCCUGAUGCUGCUAAAUAUCGGCGUAUGCCAUUGCAAUUCACUGAAGACUUAGACAUAUUAUUCUCAGAUGCAGCUGCUACAGGAGAAUGGUUAUACACCCCUAGCUCAGGGGUUACUCUGGAGGAAUUUCAUACCCCACAUGAUGCUGAAUUUCAUGAUGAUGCUGAUUUGGAGGUGGUUCAUCCUUCUGAUUUAAACAAAAAAGGUCUAUCAAACAAUGAUGGUUCAUCAAACAAGAGCAGGACAAAGAAGAAAUUUUCUAGUGCAGCUCUACUUAACAAGACAUUUGAUCAUAUAGACAAUGUGGUUUAGUCAUCUUCAGCAACUUUAACACGAACCUUAUCAAGAUAUCCUUCAAUUGCAGAAUGUUUGGCGAAAUUGCAAAGCAUCCCUGAUGUGUCCCUGGAUUAUGAGCUAUAUGUAUGGGCUACCAGAUUGUUCUUAAGAGACAAGCGUCAUGAGUGUUUCAUGACACUUCCUACGGAUGAAGUUCGGCUGAGAUUUCUGAAGUUGAAGAUUGAGAUGGAAAAGACCACCACAGGUUAUCGCGGCUAAUUGUUUCUGAAGUUGGAUGUUUCUGAAUUUCGUAAUUAUUUCAUGUUUAAGACCUUUAUUAAGACUUUUAUUAUUAAUUGUGGACUGUUAUGUUGGACUCAUUAUUUUUUUCUUUUAUUAAUAUUAUGUAUGAGUAUGUUGGACUUUUAUGUUGCACUCA